rnacentral:rRNA from 1 species
CCAGCUUGCUGGGUGGAUCAGUGGCGAACGGGUGAGUAACACGUGAGUAACCUGCCCCUGACUCUGGGAUAAGCCUUGGAAACGAGGUCUAAUACCGGAUAUGUGACGUUCAGGCAUCUGAUGCGUCUGGAAAGAUUUAUCGGUCAGGGAUGGACUCGCGGCCUAUCAGCUUGUUGGUGGGGUAACGGCCUACCAAGGCGACGACGGGUAGCCGGCCUGAGAGGGCGACCGGCCACACUGGGACUGAGACACGGCCCAGACUCCUACGGGAGGCAGCAGUGGGGAAUAUUGCACAAUGGGCGCAAGCCUGAUGCAGCGACGCCGCGUGAGGGAUGAAGGCCUUCGGGUUGUAAACCUCUUUCAGCAGGGAAGAAGCGCAAGUGACGGUACCUGCAGAAGAAGCGCCGGCUAACUACGUGCCAGCAGCCGCGGUAAUACGUAGGGCGCAAGCGUUGUCCGGAAUUAUUGGGCGUAAAGAGCUCGUAGGCGGUUUGUCGCGUCUGCUGUGAAAACUCGAGGCUCAACCUCGGGCUUGCAGUGGGUACGGGCAGACUAGAGUGCGGUAGGGGAGACUGGAAUUCCUGGUGUAGCGGUGGAAUGCGCAGAUAUCAGGAGGAACACCGAUGGCGAAGGCAGGUCUCUGGGCCGCAACUGACGCUGAGGAGCGAAAGCAUGGGGAGCGAACAGGAUUAGAUACCCUGGUAGUCCAUGCCGUAAACGUUGGGCACUAGGUGUGGGGCUCAUUCCACGAGUUCCGUGCCGCAGCAAACGCAUUAAGUGCCCCGCCUGGGGAGUACGGCCGCAAGGCUAAAACUCAAAGAAAUUGACGGGGGCCCGCACAAGCGGCGGAGCAUGCGGAUUAAUUCGAUGCAACGCGAAGAACCUUACCAAGGCUUGACAUACACCGGAAACUUCCAGAGAUGGUUGCCCCGCAAGGUCGGUGUACAGGUGGUGCAUGGUUGUCGUCAGCUCGUGUCGUGAGAUGUUGGGUUAAGUCCCGCAACGAGCGCAACCCUCGUCCUAUGUUGCCAGCGGGUCAUGCCGGGGACUCAUAGGAGACUGCCGGGGUCAACUCGGAAGAAGGUGGGGAUGACGUCAAAUCAUCAUGCCCCUUAUGUCUUGGGCUUCACGCAUGCUACAAUGGCCGGUACAAAGGGCUGCGAUACCGCGAGGUGGAGCGAAUCCCAAAAAGCCGGUCCAGUUCGGAUUGGGGUCUGCA